ensembl:lncRNA novel transcript
AACAAACUUUCUUAUCUUCCAUCGCGGCGACCUGGAGGUCCGAGGCUUCGUGCUGCGGUUGAAGGGUGGGGAAUACGACUAAAAACUGCAGCCCAGCGCGCGCGAGACGACCCAAGACCCACGCGCACUCGCACGAGCGCGUGCACAGACUUGGAGCACAGACCCUCCCUUCAGAUCCGCAGUCUCUAGGUACUGAGGCAGGAACUGGUCUCUUUGUUACUUUUCGCGCGCGCGUGUGUGUGUGUGUGUGUGAGAGAGAGAGAGAAAGAGAGAGAGAGAGAGACUAAUCCUGCGUGCGUUUGAGGGCGGGAGGGGAAAGGGUGUCAGAAACGUUCACUGCACAACCUGUUCCCUGCAAUUCGAUGACUGAAGCGCGCCGCCCCACACUUCGGAAGGGCCGUUGGCGAGGUGACGUGACCUCUUUCAUCCCCUGGCGAGAAAGGCCGAAUGACCCGGGCGCACGCGGCGGAGCUCAGCCUGCAGCUGUUGAGCGAGACCCUCCCAGAACUAUCAGCAAGCUGUCAUCGCCUCCCUUUCCCGCUGUGGGGUGGAGGGUGGGGGGUUCAAGUCGAUUCCAAUGUACAAAGAGAAGUAGCGAGAACAAAAGCCCAGGCGCCCCCAAACAUCCAGGGCGCCCAGACUGGAGCUCGCCGGCCGGUAUUCCAGACCCGGCCGGCGUGCCCGGGUGAGGGUGGGGUCUACCGAGAGGCAGAGAGCAGCGGAGGGUCUGUCCACAUGCCCUGCUCUCCCGGUACCAAGGUCUCGGGGCCUGACCUCCGAGUUUCUAAUCCAGAUCCUGCAGAUGCCGAAACGUCGAGGGCUAGCAAUUCCCAAGGUCAUACAGCAAGUUGAGGACAGGGCUCGGACUGGAAUCUCGUCUUUUGGGCACACCAGACCUCAGGGAAAGUGACCGCAUCUCGGCCAAAAGGGCUGUGGCAGGUGUCAGCCUCGAGGUGGCGGCUCUGGUGGGACCAAGCUGCGCCGGAAGGAACAGAGCUAGGGCGGCACCCGCGCGGCGAGUGUAGACACACUCGGAGCGGUCACCCCCUCGCUGCGAGCUCCCAGGAGCAACCCUGAUGCUCAGCGCUGGGGGGUGGGGUUGGGGGCCGCUCAGCUCCAUGCUGAGUAACUUGAGCUGGCCGCCUGCCUCCUUCAUCUAACCAAUUCAUUUCUCAGCUUCUGUUUCCGAGCCAAAUCUCCAUUCAGUGCCCGGGUGAAAACGCGUGUUCAAGAUCAUAUAGAUAGAUGAAAAGACCCUUUCCUCUCAGGUUUCUUUUAAAGGGGUUGGUUUGGGAUAGGAUGAGGCUGGAAAUCAUCCUUCUGAAAGCCCAGAGUGCCCUUGGGGACACUUUUGGCCCAAGAUCUGCUUUCCUUUCAAGCAUUUUGCUCGAAUUGUCCCCACACCCCUGCCCCUUCCGGGCAGCCAGUCUUGUUAACCGGUCUACAUCGCACCCCCACCCCCACCCCCACUGGAAUUGUGAUGCUGCACAUUUUUAUUUUCACAAGGAGCCGAUUUUGUGUUAAAAUGUUGACAACAGCCACACCUUUCCCUGAAGUCUUUCAGUUUAUCUGAUAACCCUUAAACAAAAAAAUCAUUCUUAAUCCAUGUAGCUCGCAUAAAGAGACUGGUACCCGGCUUUCAAAGAAAAAAAAAGUCGUUUUCAGUUGGGUCCCCAGCAUUUCUGUCUAUUCAUUAUAUGCAAUGCGUCUCAAUCUAGGUCAUCGUAUAUCAGGCACGAAGAUUUCGGGGCAACAUAUUUCAUGAUCUCUUAAUGUUAGUCUUGAUGAUGUACUAACAUUUAAAAAUUUUCCCUUCCAGAGACAAUUGUAGAAAUAUUGCUGCAUAAAAUACAAUUCAACAUUUGUUUUAUACGUAAUCUAUUGCGUGACUGAGGUGAGCAAGAUAUCCCUUAAACUAUUAAAAUUAUAUUUGCUUUCA